UAAAAAUUAAAAUUAGUUUAGAUCAUUUAAAUACUUUGAUCUCGAAGCGUUAACUGUAUAACCUAUAUUUAGUUGACUGUCUAACCUUUAUCGAGUUUAAUACUUGCUUAAACUUCUAUUUUAAUAUCUUAAAAAAGCAUAUACUGAAUAUUUAGAAGUAAGAUGAUACGUCAACAAAUAAUAGUUAUAGUGUGCAUGAUUUUCAUUGUAAGCAUCGCAGAAA
rnacentral:lncRNA from 1 species